rnacentral:tRNA from 1 species
GCCUGGGUGGCUCAGUCGGUUAAGUGUCUGACUUCAGCUCAGGUCAUGAUCUUACAGUUUGUGGGCUCAAUCCCCAUGUCGGGCU